AGAAGACAAGAUGGCGCUGGUUACCUCGCGUUAUAUCAAAGGGCAUUUUUGUUCACAAAUACCCGCUUAUUUUACGUUUUAGCGACUCGUUAGUCUUGAAAAUUAUAACUCAAUGGACAGGGGAAACGAUUCUGUAUUAAAGAGAAAAAGAUGUGCAGUUAUUGUGAUGUUAUUUGUUGUGAAAGACGGCCCGAAAGUUCGCUACUUCGCUGUACUGGUUUAUAUUAAAACAUGUACAAGCAACAGCAAUUGAACUAUGUGACAAAGAAACAAGCCAAUCAAGUUCUUCAGUUUAAAGGUCAGUUUACUUUUUAAUAAUUAGUUCAUUUAGGCCACUAUUUGUUGUAUAUUAGUUUCUCAUCCCCGCCCGCAUGCUUUUUAAGAAAAUGGUCUUGUUCGCCUUUAUUACCAUUAUUGCCAUUUUUGACCAUUAUUAUAAAUUUUGUGAUGUCUUCAAAAUGAUAUUUGAAAGAAAGACAAUUAGAAACGUUCCCAAACCAAAAGUUUCAGUUAAGAUACGAAAUUUUAUACCAAAACUGCCAGUUUCUCUCGCGUUUACGUAAACGUUCUACAGGAAGCCAGGGGCAGGGAAAAAAACGCGAGACGACUUGGCUACAAAAUUAUUUCUCUUUUCUGUGAUUAUUUCACAUGUGGUCAUGUGGAGUGGUCAUGUUUUUAAUAUAAAAACAUGGUUUCAGUUGCAUUCACUAAUUUUGUGCUGUUUUGCAAUGCUAUAAAUAAUGGCAUAAUGGUAAUGGCCCGCCCGCCCGCAUCAACUUUAGGUGAAGCCCCGGAUGAGAAACUAAUAUGCAACAAAUAGUGGCCUUAGUUGUAUAUUAAUACGAAGUACUGGAACAGUACGCCGAGUUUGAUUUGCUAUAUUGAAAUUUGUACUGUAGUCGGAAUAAGAUAAGGUAUGGAUAAACAGAGCCCAACCCCUUCUCUAACCCUAACCAAUAAAUGUGUAAUGAACUAUUUGAGAGUUAAAAAGGUUGGUGGGGAAUUUUAAAAUAUUUUAAUGCACAUAUCAACAGCUAGCCUGCAAACAGGCUCUCAAGCUGAAUUGAGAGCCUGCAUCGAUGACUAAUGAAUUUGAAUAUCUGCGUCUCAAAUCGUGACGCGAAAUUCUCAUUGGUCAGAUGCUAUAAUUUAUGUUUCCGCUGAGCUCUAUAUAUGUCAACUGCUGAAGCACUAUGCAUAAAAAACACAUUAUAACUGAUCAAAUUGGUCUUGACCAUCUUAUCUCAAAGCACGAAAUGUUCUGUUUUGAGAAAACAGUAUUUAAAACAUUUGAACUUUUGCUUCAAUAUCUUAUAUUUCGAAAAACAGUAUAAACUGUACGAUCUAAAUUUAGUUUGCACGGUCUAAAUUUAGUUUGCACCAAAGUUGUCAACAACACCAUAUAAGGAUAUACAUUACAUAUUUGGAAAAACGAAUGUUACGGGGCAGAUAUUCAAAUUCAUUAGUCAUCGAUGCAGGCUCUCAAUUCAGCUUGAGAGCCUGUUCGCAGGCUAAUCAACGGCCUGCCCGGGGGGUACACCCCCAGGACAACCGGGGGGAAACGAGGGGGAGAUUACAAACUUCGCAAUAAUAGGACGACGGGGGGAGGGGAAGUAGGGGACUUUGACGUGACAAUUUGAAUUUUAUAAAUGAACUGCACAAUUGGUGCGAACUCAAAAUUGCAGGCUCACAGAGAAAAGUACCGAUCACAAACUUAUUAUUUAUGAUAUUUUGUAGUGGUCUUGCUAAAAUUUGAAUAAAUAAAUACAGAAAACAUGAGUGCCAUUGUGAUACCCCAGUUUGUAUGAUAAUUUUUAGUUGUUUGUAUGCUAUUUAUAUUAUGAACAACUUUAUUCUAAGCCCCAGGGGGAGGGCAGGCAGUUUGACUUACACAUUUCCCGGCGGAGGGAAGGGGAAUUAAUGCAUUAGAAUCAUGUUUUUUCAAAGUCCCGGGGGUGUACCCCCAGGGCAGGCUGUUGAUAUGUGCAUAAGAAAAAUUUCUACUGUCGGAAACUGUCGUAAUUUAGAAUUAGUUCACGCGUGGGACGCGCAAGUCCAAACUUUAAACACUUCGGAAAGUUCCGGAUUAUACCGGUGGUGGUUGUUUUUUUGAGAAGAGAACUUAAAAACAUGUGGCUGUAAAACUGUGAAAUUGAUGAUUUUGUAAUAGAUAUUAUACUGUGAUUUCUUGUGAUUUAUUUCGGGCGAUACUUGGAGGCAAUCCCCAACACUACUGGCCAGAGUGCAUUCCAUGUAAACUCUACGCCGGACAUACGCCAACAUAUACGCCAACAUAUACGAUCCUUUACGCCAAUACAUCGGAGAUUUUCAGUUUUGGGGGCUUAAAUCCAUGUUUUGAAAACAUCUAAUGUGGUGAUUCAUGAAAUCAGGCACAAACUAUUCAUUUGUUUUUUAGUGAUCUCACACCAUUACGCCAACAAUUUUGUAACCUCAUGCUGGAUAUAUCUGGUGUGGAGUGCAUGGAAUGCACACUGGUCUAUGGGGCUGUUUAUAUGGAAGCCAGACUGGCCCGCUAAACGAGACAGAUUUUAUAUCGCUUGCCGG